ensembl:lncRNA
AAAGAGAAGAACGGAAGUUGUUGAUUUAAGGUUGUCUAAAUGAAUAUUUUGAAAUGUAAAUUAGAAAAGAGAGAGAGAGAGAGAGAGAGAGAGAGAGAGAGAGAGAGAGAGAGAGAGAGAGAUAUGCUUGUUUAGGUGAGCUUUUCUCAAGAAAUUAUGUUUGUCAAAAAUUGACAAAGUUCCACCAGUUAAUGGAAUAGAAUUAUUGGAAUGCUGUUUAGGUGAUUUUGAUAGUGACCCCAAGUAAGUAGAUUGUGGAAAUCUGUGUGUAGCAUUUGUUUAAUGCAGGACUGAGAAGGACCAAGGCAUUCUUGGCACUAAACAAGCAUACCUUGAACCAACAACUCAUUUAAAGAAUUUGUGGAUGAGAGACUACAGGAGAAUAACUUAAGGAAGUGGCUGAAUGGCAUUUCCCCCUUGCACUUCUUCCCUUUCCCCAAUGCAGUUCUGCCUCCACCAGCUCUAGAGCUGUCCAUCAUCCCUCCAAGACAGACCUUUCUCCAGGGACAACGGAUCAAGUUGAAAUGCUCCCACCCGGAAGGGCAGCUGGCAGCCAAGUUCUUAUUUUAUGAAAUGAAAGCUGAUGGUGGGUGGACUAAACUCCAAGAACAGUUCGAUAAUACCCUGGAAAUCACUGCAGAAUUUCAGGAAACAAAGAAAUCAUUUGUCUGUGCCUACAUGGAAGAAAGCAGUGCAGGACAACUGUCUGAACGGAGUAACCGCAUUGAGGUUUCCAUUAUAGGCCGCCUUCAUCCUCCAUUCUUCUCUGUGUCCCCGAAGCUUGACAUCUACAGCAGUGGGGAGAUUGUGAACUUCACAUGCUCUGCUCCUGAAAACAUUCUCAUGUCGAGGGUUUUCUUUGGGAAGGACCGAUGGCUGUUGCAUGUCUACAGGCCCCCUUCUCCUCUGGCCUCCUUUACGUACACGAGGCGCUUGUCUCCUCAAGACAGCGGGGAGCAUCUUUGCACGUACCGAGCUGCAGAAUCGAGCUGGAACAUCUCAUCCCUAGAAAGCAGAAGGAUCAGGAUUUCGGUGAUGGCUCCUCCUCCUGCCCCGGUGCUGACAGUGGAUCCUCCGUCUGGAGUGGUGAAGGAAGGGGGAUUCCUGCGCCUCACUUGCUCGGCCUUUGGCAGCGACGCAGAGCAAAGGUUUCAUUUCUACAGGGAUGGGGUGAAGAUUUCCUCCAGCAGUGAAGAGUCUCUGGCGGACUCCGGAGAACCCAGGAAUGCCUUCUCGAACGCCUCUGCAAACAUCCUGGUCCAAGUCACAGCCAGCAUCCACACUGGGGGAUUUGCUUGCAGGUAUGAGCAGAAACUGAGCAGCCGAUGGAUCAUGUCUCCCUGGAGCCAAACAGUGAAUCUCACAGCUUGGGCACCAAAUUCCUCUUCGUCACCCCUGCUAUAUGCACGCUGGGCAAUUCCACUGGUGAUCCUGAUGGUCCCUCUUGCUUUUUACUGCACGAGAAGGAAGAGAGCGUUGAAAUCUGAGCAGGAAAACAAGGAAGAAGCAAAUUCUGAGUAUGUUGAAAUGUUCAGCGCCACUCGGAAGCCUCAGAGGACUCAGACGCCUUUUACUGCCUUGCCGCCCCCUGCUCUGCCUCAGCCCCCAAUAUCGCAAUCAUGGAUGGAGAGCGGAGCCAACCAGGGGAAGACCAGGAGGAAGGUCUCUACAACAACAUUCCCCUUCAGGGCAAGAAGAGAGCAGAACGAUACAGAGAUUCUGAAGAAGAAUGAGCCAUCGGGGAGAUUAAAAUAUUCAGGAUGGGGAUUUAUGACCAGGGAGAUAGGGUGGAAGGGGUCAGGGAAGAGGGCAGUGUUUUUCUCUGCAUACGGCUUGGCUCAACUUCUGCAGCACUUUCCUCAAGAGCAGGGGUCAGCAAACUUUUCAGCAGGCGGCCGGUCCACUGUCCCUUAGACCUUGUGGGGGACCGGACUAUAUUUUGAAGGAAAAAAUAUGAACGAAUUCCUAUGCCCCACAAAUAACCCAGAAAUGCAUUUUAAAUAAAAGAACACAUUCUACUCAUGUAAAAACACGCAGAUUCCCAGACCGUCCACGGGCCGGGUUUAGAAGGGAUUGAGCCUUUUCCAUUCUCAUUUUAAUCUUCUGACAUACCCAAGUACAGCCCACCCAAACACCCCCUGACCAUUGACCAUGCUGGCUUGGACAGAUACAGUUUGGUCCAACAACAACUGGAAGGCUACAGGUUCCCCCAGCCUUGUUCUAGAUAGAGGACAGAGGACCUUCUUGGUAGUGGCACCCACCCUGUGGAAUGCCCGCCCUUCAGAUGUCAAGGAAAUAAACACCUAUCUGACUUUUGAAGGACAUCUGCAGGCAGCCCUGUUUAGGA